UACAGAGGUCCCCGAGCGUUGUUCGGAUUCAUUGGGCGUAAAGGGUGCGUAGGCGGUCUGCUAAGUUUGGUGUGAAAUCCCGGGGCUCAACCCUGGAAUUGCAUUGAAUACUGGUGGACUAGAGUACUGGAGAGGAAACUGGAAUUUACGGUGUAGCAGUGAAAUGCGUAGAGAUCGUAAGGAAGACCAGUGGCGAAGGCGAGUUUCUGGACAGUAACUGACGCUGAGGCACGAAGGCCAGGGGAGCAAACGGG
rnacentral:rRNA from 1 species